rnacentral:misc_RNA from 1 species
GAUGAAGAACGUAGCGAAAUGCGAUAAGUAGUGUGAAUUGCAGAAUUCAGUGAAUCAUCGAAUCUUUGAACGCACAUUGCGCCCAUUAGUAUUCUAGUGGGCAUGCCUGUUCGAGCGUCAUUUCAACCCUUAAGCCUCUAUUGCUUAGCGUUGGGAGCCUACCUACCCGGUAGAUCCUCAAAGUUAGCUGGCAGGGUCGAGGUUCGCCCUAAGCGUAGUAGUUCUUUCUCGCUUCUGCGGCUGCCUAGGCCAUCGCCACAAGCCUUUUAAACUUCAAUGGUUGACCUCGGAUCAGGUAGGAAUACCCGCUGAACUUAAGCAUAUCAAUAAGCGGAGGA